rnacentral:rRNA from 1 species
GCAAUAGCAUUUAUCAUGGAUGUUUCAUUUAAUCAAGAACGAAAGUUAGAGGUUCGAAGGCGAUCAGAUACCGCCCUAGUUCUAACCAUAAACGAUGUCGACUGGCGAUCCGGCUCCGUUAACUGAAUGACUAGCCGGGCAGUCUCCGGGAAACCAAAGUCUUUGGAUUCAAGGGGAAGUAUGGUUGCAAAGCUGAAACUUAAAGGAAUUGACGG